GCAGACGUCCUCCGUCAUCAGUCACCCUCUCUGUUAAAUUAGUUGGGGCCCAAACCUUUCCUGAAAUCACACACACACAGAAAGGUGAAAGGCUUUUCCAUGACAGAGAUGCUUUAGAAGGCUUGACUUCAUGACGAGGACACUGGUCAUCACUGAUGUUUUCCCUGACCAGCAGAGCGAAUCCAACCACAUGCAGAAUCCACGUGGAGAACAUUGUAGCUGAUCUUAUUCAAGACCAGAGGCACAGCGCUUUUCACAGCAGAACCCUAUGAUGAAGAUCAAAUCUGUGCGUCAUAUAAAAUGUGAAUAUGGCCAGGAAGUCCUGACUAUAUUAGGAGCACAUCUGGCAGAAGGA